AGAAGUUUGUGGUCAGGAACAGGAUGGCCCCGCUUGUCUGUGGCUCCGGCGCCGGGAAAAGGCUGGCAGUGGUGAUGGCGCCGCCGCUGCCCGCGGCCGCCGCACCCCGAGGCCGUUUGGCCGGGCACACGUCCCCCUUCUCCUCCGGCUCGGGCGCCCGCGCCCGCCCCGCUGCAGGUAACCAGGGACGCCGGGUCGGGGCGUGGGCACUGGUGGGGCCAUCGGAGAAGGGACAGGGGCUGGGUCGGGGGCGGGAGGGAGCGGGCGAGUCCCACUGAAGGGGGCGCCUGCCAGGCAUGUCAGUGGCGCGGAGAGGAGCCCGAGCCGGGGAAGGACGGAGACUGCACUCGCGUGGGAGGAGGGGGUCGGGCGGGCGCCCCGGGCUUUGAAGAGAGCCCAGUCCAGGGGCUGACUCGCAGCAGGCUGCCUGCCAAAGGCUCUGUUUGGUUGAGGAGGUCUGCGUCUGAGGUCAUCCCCCGAGUGGGUCGGGGGUGGGCAUCCCCGGGUGACCCGGCUAGUGGCGGCUCGUCCUGAGCGCGAAGACUGAGGCGGGGUGGCCGCCGUCCCGCCGCACAGCACUGGCGGAGACCCCCGGGCCGGGCUGUGGCCGCUGCCUCUCGGACUCCCCCUUCGCAACGGCAGCCCCUCCAGGCAGUUCUGACCCGCAGCAGAGCGGGGGGCGGGGGGCGGGGGACGCGGGACGCAGACAGGCAGGGUGGUGGGAAAAGGUGAAGGACAUGCCGCGCAGCCAGGGUGGGAGGAACCAGAGUGGGGGCAUUUUCCUCCCAGCCCAUUUUGGGGGCGCUCUUCGCCCUCCUCAUUGGGUCCGGAGCGCGCCCCUGAGCCGUCCAGAGCCAGAGAGGAGAGCUCGGGGGCCAGGGGGGCGGCCUGAGAGAGGGCAGGGGUCCCUGGACCUCCCGGCCCGGUGGAGAAACGCCUCGGCGCGGCCGCCUCCCCUCCCCCGAAAGGAACCUGCGCCUUCUCGGCCCCCUCCCCGGCGGGGCGGGCGCGCGCUUGCCGGAGAAACUUCUGACGCGGAGCUGUUUGAAUGAGACUUGAUUUCCUUCCUUCAGCAGUCUCUGCGUGGUUCUGAACUGAGACUUGCUUCGGGUUUUCCAGCAGCCUCGCUCGAGGCAGUCGGGCAGACCCCGACCUAGGGGUGGGAACCUCAGCCGAA
rnacentral:lncRNA from 1 species